CUUGGGUGCAGGAGGGUGGAAGGGGAGGAGCCUGACCAGCAUUUGCAAGAUCCUGGCGCCUCUAGUUCCUAAGGAUGGGCCACCAUGUUCAAUUCUCCCUUUAGGCUGUGGAGGUGGGUCCACUUCUAGGCUGGGAGUGGGGAGAGAGAAUGAAAUGAAAGAAACAGAGACUAGGAGACAGAGACAAAAGAAAUCAUACAAAGCCAGGGCAGGAAAAAGGAUAUGCUUGUUUUCCAGAGAAAUCAUUUCACCUUUACAGCCUUGGAAGGAUAAUGUCACCUUUUACAGAGCCUGGAUUUUGUCUGUUUUGCUUACUGCUGUAUCCCCAGAACCCAGAACAGUACCUGCCACAUAGUAGGAGC
rnacentral:lncRNA from 1 species